GGGGCUUGCUCUGUAAAGACCAGAGCUGGAGGAUGCUCUUUCUAGGAAGGUGAAAUGGGGCUGAGGCAGGGUAGACACCAUGUCUGAAGUGGAUGAGAUGGGAAGCCUGGUCUUUGAUUGAUUGCAACAUAGUCCAAUCUAAGCCUCUUCUGGGCUCUGGGAGACGAGCAUCUGGAAAGACUUGAGAGUUCUGGGUACCUACAAAUCCUGCUUCAACCUGCCAUUUGGUGGACGAUGGACUAGAUGGCCUGGCCAAUGAAGGGGAUUGGAGAAGAGAAAAAUCCUUCCUUCGAAGAAUGAGCUUCUCUCUCCUUGAUUUCUGCCUCCCAGAUCAGAUGCAUUCAAAAUGCUGAAUUCAACCAGUUUUUACUCUAGUUAUUUAAAGUCCCACUCCAAUGUUCAGAUGAGGUUUUUUUUUUCUUUUUCUUUUAAUUCCAUCAGUGAAAAGGGUUUGCCCUUCAUAAAAGAAUCAUCAGGUGUGGCUGCAAUUUUAAUUUUGGUUUGUUGCAUUCUAAAUUGUUACCAUAUUAAACACUCUUAUGUUUAUUA